UACGUAGGGGGCAAGCGUUGUCCGGAUUUACUGGGCGUAAAGCGCGUGUAGGCGGCUGGGUAGGUCCGUUGUGAAAACUCGAGGCUCAACCUCGAGACGUCGAUGGAAACCAUCUGGCUAGAGUCCGGAAGAGGAGAGUGGAAUUCCUGGUGUAGCGGUGAAAUGCGCAGAUAUCAGGAAGAACACCCGUGGCGAAGGCGGUUCUCUGGGACGGUACUGACGCUGAGACGCGAAAGCGUGGGGAGCGAACAGG
rnacentral:rRNA from 1 species